UGCGUGAUUGUCCUCGAGCUUUAUUUACUUGGAAGCAGAUCAUGUGCUCUACCUCUAUCUAUAUAUAGGACCACUAAUUUAGAUAAUUAAAGUGGAUAGCUCUGUGCAAAUGCCUGUAGUAAAGAGAGCUGUUAUGAUGGCUUGCAAUGGAUCACUAUAUUUCUCUUUACUUCCUGGUAAUUUGUGGAAGUGGAGGAAUUGUUCCAUUUUUUUAUGAAAAUUUCCAAUACCCUGCCCAGCCAAGUAAGAUCAUAACCGACCACCACAACAAUUAUGAGCAAUGGCUACAAGAGGCAUAGCCACGGUUGCAGUGUUUGUGCGAAAGAGUUUCAGUCAACGCAAUUCGAUCACUGUAUGAAUGAAUCUAUGGAUAAUGCAGGCCACAUUUAUCUACAAGCGGGACCUUUCUAUAAAAUAUUGCUUCAGUCCGCUAUUUUUGCAUUGGUCUUGGUAAAAUGGUCGUAUUGUUUGGCUGUUAAAACCCGCUGCCAACCUCAUCUCUCAGUUUGCUUCAACAAGGAAUGAAACAAAUAAUAGUAAAUUCAGAAACCCUGAAGCUAAAGCAUUCAAGAAGGUGGAGGAUAAGACCAAAGUUGCCGGGGCAGAUACUAUGCUAGAUUUCCCAACUUUCUUGCUUCGUAGCUCAAUAGAAAACAGUUGAUUGAGCCUUCAAACAUUUAAAACCAAUUGCAGGUGCUUGCCAGCAAAGGGUGAAGAGUCUGGUGAAUGUGAAAGAUAUUCCAAAUAUUAUUGUUUGCCUUGCACGGUUGAAUGGCAUAGCCUUGGCAAAGUUUGCACCAGAAUCACAGGGCACACUGAGUUUUAAGUUUGGAACUUCUUCUGGAGCUGUAUCUUAGCCUUGAGAACUUUCUAGUUAGAAACUUGUAUGUGAUAACAGUACUAUUGGGUUGGAGUGGGUUAUGUAAUGCUGUACUGGGUUUGAUUUAUAGUACUCAUAGUGAAAUUACUGUAAAUCAUUGAUACAAUGAAUGAUUAUUAAUUUUAUUUUCAUCUUUUCUGGGCA